GAUCAUGGCUCAGAGUGAACGCUGGCGGCAGGCCUAACACAUGCAAGUCGAGCGGCAGCGCGGGGCAACCCUGGCGGCGAGCGGCGGACGGGUGAGGAAUGCAUCGGAAUCUACCUCGUUGUGGGGGAUAACGUAGGGAAACUUACGCUAAUACCGCAUACGACCUACGGGUGAAAGUGGGGGACCUUCGGGCCUCACGCGAUGAGAUGAGCCGAUGCCGGAUUAGCUAGUUGGCGGGGUAAAGGCCCACCAAGGCGACGAUCCGUAGCUGGUCUGAGAGGAUGAUCAGCCACACUGGAACUGAGACACGGUCCAGACUCCUACGGGAGGCAGCAGUGGGGAAUAUUGGACAAUGGGCGCAAGCCUGAUCCAGCCAUGCCGCGUGUGUGAAGAAGGCCUUCGGGUUGUAAAGCACUUUUGUUGGGGAAGAAACCGACCGGAUUAAUACUUCGGUUGAAUGACGGUACCCAAAGAAUAAGCACCGGCUAACUUCGUG
rnacentral:rRNA from 1 species